GAAUGGCGUAGUGGUUAGUGACUCUGACUACUGAUCCGAUGGUCCCGGGUUCGCUUCCCGGCUGAAGCA
rnacentral:tRNA from 1 species